UACGUAGGGUGCGAGCGUUGUCCGGAAUUAUUGGGCGUAAAGGGCUCGUAGGCGGUUUGUCACGUCAGGAGUGAAAACUCGGGGCUCAACCCCGAGCCUGCUUCUGAUACGGGCAGACUAGAGGUAUGCAGGGGAGAACGGAAUUCCUGGUGUAGCGGUGAAAUGCGUAGAGAUCGGGAGGAACAUCCGUGGCGAAGGCGGCCAUCUGGAUCAACACUGACGCUGAUGGACGAAAAGCGUGGGUAGCAAACAGG
rnacentral:rRNA from 1 species